rnacentral:rRNA from 1 species
ACGCUGGCGGCGGCCUAAACAUGCAAGUCGAGCGCCCCGCAAGGGGAGCGGCAGACGGGAGAGUAACACGUGGGAACGUACCCUUCAGUUCGGAACAACCCAGGGAAACUUGGGCUAAUACCGAAUACGUCCGUAAGGAGAAAGAUUUAUCGCUGAGGGAUCGGCCCGCGUCUGAUUAGCUUGUUGGUGAGGUAACGGCUCACCAAGGCGACGAUCAGUAGCUGGUCUGAGAGGAUGAUCAGCCUCACUGGGACUGAGACACGGCCCAGACUCCUACGGGAGGCAGCAGUGGGGAAUAUUGGACAAUGGGCGCAAGCCUGAUCCAGCCAUGCCGCGUGGAUGAUGAAGGCCCUAGGGUUGUAAAGUCCUUUCGGCGGGGAAGAUAAUGACGGUACCCGCAGAAGAAGCCCCGGCUAACUUCGUGCCAGCAGCCGCGGUAAUACGAAGGGGGCUAGCGUUGCUCGGAAUCACUGGGCGUAAAGCGCACGUAGGCGGCUUUCUAAGUCAGAGGUGAAAUCCUGGAGCUCAACUCCAGAACUGCCUUUGAUACUGGAAGGCUUGAGUCCGGGAGAGGUGAGUGGAACUGCGA